UACGAGGGGGGCUAGCGUUGCUCGGAAUCACUGGGCGUAAAGGGUGCGUAGGCGGGUCUUUAAGUCAGGGGUGAAAUCCUGGAGCUCAACUCCAGAACUGCCUUUGAUACUGAGGAUCUUGAGUAUGGGAGAGGUGAGUGGAACUGCGAGUGUAGAGGUGAAAUUCGUAGAUAUUCGCAAGAACACCAGUGGCGAAGGCGGCUCACUGGCCCGGAACUGACGCUGAGACGCGAAAGCGUGGGGAGCAAACAAG
rnacentral:rRNA from 1 species